UGGGGAAUUUUGGACAAUGGGGGCAACCCUGAUCCAGCCAUGCCGCGUGAGUGAAGAAGGCCUUCGGGUUGUAAAGCUCUUUCGGCCGGAACGAAAUCGCACGGGUGAAUAGUCCGUGUGGAUGACGGUACCGGAACAAGAAGCACCGGCUUACUACGUGCCAGCAGCCGCGGUAAUACGUAGGGUGCGAGCGCUAAUCGGAAUUACUGGGCGUAAAGCGUGCGCAGGCGGUUUGUUAAGCCAGAUGUGAAAGCCCCGGGCUCAACCUGGGAACUGCGUUUGGUACUGGCAAGCUAGAGUACGGCAGAGGGGGGUGGAAUUCCACGUGUAGCAGUGAAAUGCGUAGAGAUGUGGAGGAACACCGAUGGCGAAGGCAGCCCCCUGGGCCGAUACUGACGCUCAGGCACGAAAGCGUGGGGAGCAAACAGGAUUAGAUACCCUGGUACGUCCACGCCCUAAACGAUGCGAACUAGUCGUUGGAGUAGCAAUACUUUAGUGACGCAG
rnacentral:rRNA from 1 species